rnacentral:lncRNA from 12 species
UUUGCCUUCAGAGUUAGUUCCUUUGAUUGAGAACAUGAUUGCAAAAUCUGAUUUUGGUCUGAUCAGAUGCUUUUGUCCUUUGGUUUCCCCCAGAACUGUGAUCUAUGAAUUCUCAGAGGAUACUGAAGUUUCCUGAAUAUGAACACUUCUAGAGACAUGGGCAACAAACCAAAUGGACUUCAUGUGAAAUUAUUGACUACUCUGUGCCUCUCAGCCUCAAUUAGCCCCUAAUUCUAGGCACCUGGAAGCCAAAGCAAACCAUAAGGAGCCACAAGCACUACCCCGAUGCAGCAUCUCUGGAAGGAAGUUUCACAUGGUAUUGAACAGAUAAUACCACACUUGCAGCUCACAAGGUCCAGCAAAAAAGCAGUCUUUGAGGAAAAAGCAAAAUACUUAAGGUAGAAAUUGUGGGCAGAUGAGUGGCCAUUUCCUUGGAAGUGUG